GUGACCAACCCUCACUAGUUCUGGAGGUCAGGGUCUCCAUGUUAGGGAACAGAGCAAGAGACUUGGAACAGCCCCCUACAGCUGCACUUUUAGAAGGUCAGCCUGUCCGAUUCUUGUAACCUGGAGGUCCCUCCGCGUCUCCAGCCCCCUGAGCUGCAGGAGCGGCCCCAUCAGUGCACCUGAUUGGAACACACUAGAUUUCAGGUCCUGGAAACUGGGCGCUAGGAUCCGUUUCCCUGGCUGCGGAGAGUGGGAGGUGUGAUGUGGAAUAUCCCUUCUCCCAGCACACCCCAAUUAAUGCUUAGAGUAGGGCAGGAGGAGGUGCUGGGAAAACCGGGUUUCUUGGCACAUGGGGGUGCAAGCACUGUGGUUGAAAUUGGCCAUGUCCAAGGUGCACCAGACGAUUUCAGGUCAUUUUUAGCCCCAGACUGGAAAGGGGUCAGGGGACAGGUGACCUGGGCUCAGCCCCCAGCAGCUCCCAACCGCCCCUCUCCCAAGCAACUCCUGAUCCCUGCUUUUGAGGAAAUAAACAAAUAAAACCCCGCUAUCUCCGAA
rnacentral:lncRNA from 1 species